rnacentral:rRNA from 1 species
GGGCCCGCACAAGCGGUGGAGUAUGUGGUUUAAUUCGAUGCAACGCGAAGAACCUUACCAGGACUUAAAUGUAAGUUGCAUGAUUCAGAAAUGAAUCUUUCUUCGGACUACUUACAAGGUGCUGCAUGGUUGUCGUCAGCUCGUGCCGUGAGGUGUCAGGUUAAGUCCUAUAACGAGCGCAACCCCUAUCGUUAGUUGCCAUCAAGUAAAGUUGGGAACUCUAGCGAAACUGCCGGUGCAAACCGUGAGGAAGGUGGGGAUGACGUCAAAUCAUCACGGCCCUUACGUUCUGGGCUACACACGUGCUACAAUGGCCGGUACAGAAAGCAGCCACUAUGCGAAUAGGAGCUAAUCUUUAAAACCGGUCUCAGUUCGGAUCGCAGUCUGCAACUCGACUGCGUGAAGCUGGAAUCGCUAGUAAUCGGAUAU